UCUGGGAGCGGUGGCACAUGCCUGUAGUCCCAGCCACUCGGGAGGCUGAGGUGGGAGGAUCGCUUGAGCCAGGAGUUCUGGGCUAUAGUGUGCUAUGCCAAUUGGGUGUCUGCACUAAGUUCAGCAUCAAUAUGGUGACCUCCUGGGAGUGGGGCACCACCAGGUUGCCUAAGGAGGGGUGAUCCAGCCCAGGUCAGAAACAAAGCGGGUCAAAACUCCCAUCCUGAUCAGUAGUGGGAUAGCGUCUGUGAAUAGCCACUGCACUCCAGCCUGGGCAACAUAACAGACCAUGUCUCU
rnacentral:SRP_RNA from 1 species